rnacentral:rRNA from 1 species
UACGUAGGGCGCAAGCGUUGUCCGGAAUUACUGGGCGUAAAGGGCUCGUAGGCGGCCAACUAAGUCGGAUGUGAAAUCCCCAGGCUUAACCUGGGAAUUGCAUCCGAUACUGGAUGGCUUGAAUCCGGGAGAGGGAUGCGGAAUUCCAGGUGUAGCGGUGAAAUGCGUAGAUAUCUGGAGGAACACCGGUGGCGAAGGCGGCAUCCUGGACCGGCAUUGACGCUGAGGAGCGAAAGCCAGGGGAGCAAACGGG